CCCACAUUUAUUCACAGUUUUGCGGCUAGAAAAGAUGCCCAUCUUAGGAUUCUUUCUUAUCAAGAAACACGAAUACCCAUCUUAGAAUUAUUCGAGAUUAGGUUAGGUGUGUUACCCUCUUGAAUCGGCAAUCAACUGUCCACAGAAUCGUUGAGACUCAGGAUCUUGCAGCUCCAAUACCAAAUGUUGUGGCAAAGCCACAACCCAAAGGAAACGAUAGAAAAUAGAAAAAAUGGGAG
rnacentral:misc_RNA from 1 species